UGACUCAAGAAUAGAUCUAUGGGCAGUGCAACCCAUCUCAACAAAAUAAGACAUGAUAGAAGACAUCUGAAAAGGUGCAAUGGUUCCUCACCUAGAGCAGAACAGUGCCCUUCCCUGUGUCAGAGAAGGCAACAAUCCACAUGCAGAAAGGAUGCUCCUUAUAAGAUAACUUUUUAUCAAAUCUUCAUGAUUAAGCGGAUGAUUGACCCAUCAUCUUCUACCUUCAGGAUAGUUCUGCACAAAUUGUCUCUAACUUCACUGCUCAGGCUAACUGCAGAGAAAGAAGUUCCAUCACAACACAGGACCUGAUGAUGAAUUUUGGCAGCUGCUGUAAUUGAAGGUUGUCUCGUGCCUUUCAA